UUGACAUCCAGAGAAUUUAGCAGAGAUGCUUUAGUGCCUUCGGGAACUCUGAGACAGGUGCUGCAUGGCUGUCGUCAGCUCGUGUUGUGAAAUGUUGGUUAAGUCCGCAACGAGCGCAACCCUUACCCUUUGUUGCCAGCACGUAAUGGUGGGAACUCAAAGGAGACUGCCGGUGAUAAACCGGAGGAAGGUGGGGAUGACGUCAAGUCAUCAUGGCCCUUACGAGUAGGGCUACACACGUGCUACAAUGGCGCAUACAAAGAGAAGCGACCUCGCGAGAGCAAGCGGACCUCAUAAAGUGCGUCGUAGUCCGGAUUGGAGUCUGCAACUCGACUCCAUGAAGUCGGAAUCGCUAGUAAUCGUAAAUCAGAAUGUUACGGUGAAUACGUUCCCGGGCCUUGUACACACCGCCCGUCACACCAUGGGAGUGGGUUGCAAAAGAAGUAGAUAGCUUAACCUUCGGGAGGGCGUUUACCACUUUGUGAUUCAUGACUGGGGUGAAGUCGUAACAAGGUAAGCGUAGUGCU
rnacentral:rRNA from 1 species